rnacentral:rRNA from 1 species
CGUGUAGGCGGGAGGACAAGUCAGAUGUGAAAUUCCAUGGCUCAACUGUGGGACUGCAUCUGAAACUGUUUUUCUUGAGUACUGGAGAGGAAAGUGGAAUUCCUAGUGUAGCGGUGAAAUGCGUAGAUAUUAGGAGGAACACCAGUGGCGAAGGCGACUUUCUGGACAGUAACUGACGCUGAGGCGCGAAAGCGUGGGGAGCAAACA